rnacentral:tRNA from 1 species
GAGGGUAUAGCUCAGUGGCAGAGCACGUGCUUAGCAUGCACGAUGAGGUCCUGGGGUCAAUCCCCUGUACCUCCG